GGCGCGUGGGUCCACGCGCCGCUGCAAGAAAAACCCAACAGCAAGGGGCUGGAUCGACUCCCUCUUCUCAGCCUCCCAACACCGGCGGUGAGGACCGCCGUUACCUACAAUAACAGAAAAAGCACAACACAGUCGAUUUUAAUUUUUGUUUUUUUUCGUUUUGCAGAGCUGCUUCGGUUUUUUCUUCCUCGGUUUCGGUUCUAAAUUCUUUCCCCAGAUCGGUCUGUUAUGGGUUUCUUCUUCGUCUCCGGUGGUAGAUCGUCGUGGAGGAGGAGCUGUGGGUGGUCGAUUGAAGCAGGAACCCGGCGGCGGUGCUGAGGAGUUCGGGUCGGUGGCGAUGGAGAAACGAAACUCCGCCCGUUCUCUGGUUGAGGGGAUGAUGGGGACUGCUCUGUGCUGGGAGAAGGAAAAAAAAAUCAGGGGAACAGGGGACGGCGGAUCUGUUUAGGCUGAGGUUCGGGCAGCUGUUGAAGGAAAAAUCAAAAGUCCGGUGGGGGGGGGGAGCUUGAGCUGCGGUGGAGAGGCAGAGGUGGAAGGGGUCUCGGCUGGUUUGCUACUGUUUGGGAGAGGUUGAGAGUCAGGGACGAGAGACAGAGGUGGAAGGGGCUGGUUCGGUUUGCUGCUGUUUUAAGAGGAUGAGGGUGGUUGGCUGUCUUGGUGUUGAUGGGAGGAAGAUCAGCGUUGUGGGUGGUGCUGGUUUGGGGAAGAAAAAAAAAUGAAACGGGGAGGGGGCUCUUCGGUUUUGGAGGAGAAGGGAGAGGAUUUUUGUGGCUUCGGGUGCAGGGAAAAAUUAAAACCAGAGGGGGGCUGCCAAAGGGAUUGGGGCUUGUGGGUGUCUCCCCCCUCCUGCUGGAUCCGAAAAAAUGGCUCAAAUCUCCCUCCCAGGUACAAGGCUGGGGAUCAGAAGAAAUAUGGGUUUUUUUUCAUUAUGAGGAGGGCCAACAUGUCGGCGGGAAACAAGGAAAAGAAGACCAUGGGUGGGGGCUAAGUAAUUAAUUUUUAGCCGAAAAAGAGGGAUUAAAUAAUGGUAUUGGGCCAGGGGCAACAGCUAAUUUCGGGUGAAGAGAAAAAAAAAAUUCUUAGGUUGCCCCUCCUUCCAAAAUUCAAAAUUCCCUUAGGCAAAAAUAUUGUUUUGGCCUCAAAAUUGGUCCCUUAAUUUUUUUAUUUUUUAUUUUUGUAAAAUUUGAUUUUUCUUGUUUUUUUUGUAUUUUUUGAAAACGAGCAAUAUCAACGUCGACUCAAAUACGGAAAAUCAAUUAUUUUAAAAAUGACGCGUGAAAAGUCGAACGCGUUCGAAAGACCCUUAAAAAUUAAAAAAAAAUAAAAAUUUAAACGACGUUGAAAAUGCUAAAAUGACGAAAAUAUAUUAAAAACAUAUUUUUUUGGAUUUUCUUUGUUUUUCUCUAUUUUUGGAUUUUUUGAAAAUAUAUCAAAAACAUGGGUCAAAAAUUGGGUAGCAACAGAUGCCCCCUCUUUACAAUGCUUACGAAGCAAAAAUCCUCGAUGUUUUGCAUAGUAAGCUUUGUAAAGAAAAACUUGUCUUUCUGCUUAAAAAAAAAACUUUUUUUUUCUUUUUUAUUAUCUUGAGAUCCCAUCUGGCGACCUCCUUUAACCAAAACCAAAGAAUGUGUGUAACUCGGUCAACCUGAAAUCCCAUAUGGAGAUCCCCUUUAACCAAAGCUACAUGAGAUCCCAUCUGGCGACCUCAUUCAACUGGAACAAAAAAAUGUGUAAAAAGCGGUCUCAUUGUAUGGGUGACGAACCCCAGAAAAAUGAUGGUCUCAUUGUAUGGGUGACGAACCCCAGAAAAAUGAUGGUCUCAUUGUAUGGGUGACGAACCCCAAUGGAAAGGAGGAAGAGUGGUCUCAUUCUUUGGGUGACCUACCCAGGGGGAAGAAUGGCCUCAUUCUUAUGGGUGACCUACCCAGGUAAAAAAAAUGGAGAAUGGUCUCAUUGUAAUGGGUGGCCUACCCAGCAAAAAUGGUGGUCUCAUUGUGAUGGGUGACCUACCCAAGUGGAAAGGGGAAAGAGUGGUCUCAUUCUUUGGGUGACCUACCCAGGGGAAGGAAUGGCCUCAUUCUUAUGGGUGACCUACCCAGGUAAAAAAAAAUGGAGAAUGGUCUCAUUCUUUGGGUGACCUACCCAGAAAAGAUGUGGUCUCAUUGUGAUGGGUGACCUACCCAAGUGGAAAAAGGAAGAGUGGUCUCAUUCUUUGGGUGACCUACCCAGGGGAAGGAAUGGCCUCAUUCUUAUGGGUGACCUACCCAAAAAAAAAAGAUGGAGAAUGGUCUCAUUCUAAUGGGUGACCUACCCAGAAAAAUGGUGGUCUCAUUGUGAUGGGUGACCUACCCAAGUGGAAAAAAUGUGAAGUGGUCUCAUUGUAAUGGGUGACCUACCCAGAUGGAAAAAAUGAUGAAGUGGUCUCAUGUGAUGGGUGACCUACCCAAUAGAAAAAUAUGAAGUGGUCUCAUUGUAAUGGGUGACCUACCCAUGGAAAAAAAUAUGAGAAUGGUCUCAUUGUAAUGGGUGACCUACCCAGAUGGAAAAAAUGAUGAAGUGGUCUCAUUGUGAUGGGUGACCUACCCAGAUGGAAAAAAUGUGAAGUGCGGUCUCAUUGUAAUGGGUGACCUACCCAGAUGGAAAAAAUGAUGAAUGGUCUCGUUUGAUGGGCGACCUACCCAAAGAAAGAAUGUGAAGUGGUCUCAUUGUAAUGGGUGACCUACCCAGAUGGAAAAAAUAUGAAGUGUGGUCUCAUUGUAAUGGGUGACCUACCCAGAUGGAAAAAAUAUGAUGAAGUGCGGUCUCAUUGUAAUGGGUGACCUACCCAGAUGGAAAAAAUGUGAAAACGGUCUUAUUAUGAUGGGCGACCUACCCAGAUGGAAAAAAUGUGAUAUGACAAGUGUGAAAAAUAGGACUUACCUGGCGAAGUCCUGAGGGGAUGACAGAAGAAGGGCUGGAAAACUUGGUGCUUCCUGAUAAUUCCCGAUCAUAGGGUUUGAAAACUCGGUGUUUCCUGACUGCAAGGGUUGAAAACUCGAGGCUUCCCGAUUGCAAGGUUGAUCUUUCAUUUCUUUGGGAUUUUCCUAAUGGUAGGGUUCAUCCCAUCGUCCUUUUAUUCCAUGAUCAAAACCGAUUCUUUAUUAUCAUCACCACAAUGCUUCUUUCUUUUCCACCAUCUUGCUGGACCUCAUUAAGGAUUUUCCUGUAACAAUUCAAAAAUAUGUGCAAAUGGUUUUUUUUUUUUGUUAGAUGAUAUGCAUGCAUCCUUACCUGAUUUGAAAUAUAGGUCCCCCCCUCCUUGAUGCUCCAUCGUCAUAGGGUGCCCUUGUUUGCAUCCCAAAGCUUUCUUUGUUCUUCCGAUGCAUUGGCUCAUUCAUGUGCUAGCCAUCCACUCAGCUGUAAAUGCAGUGCCCAUCCCGGGCUGUCUUCGACAAUUACUGCUCGCAUCGCUCAUCAAGCUUGACAAUGCCCCCAAGUGUGGUGAUGCUUGAUUCAUCAUGAAGAAUUUUCUCUCUUGGAUUCUUCUGAGAAUUAUCCUCUGAUUGAUUGUGUGCAUCAUGCCAACACCCAUCAAGAUUGUUAAUCAGUCAUGAACUUGCCUUCGGUUGAAACACCAUUCAAGUAUGUAUGGUCACCAGCCUUCAUGGAACUGCCAAGUCAUCCAGACAUGGAUCUCAUGCUUUGCAGUAAACGGCUCAUCAUUGUAAGCGCGAUGUAUUUCUCUAUGGAUUCCUCUUAGCUUGUCAAAUCAGAUCGUGAAAAUAACUGCUUUGGCAUCAUCAAUGAUGUUCAUGUUAUCACCCAUAUUCAUGCGGUGAAGUGUGCAUUUGAGCUUCAAAUAGAUGGUCCCAUAGUCAAUCUUGGUGGUGCAUGUUCGAUGUUCAUCACAUGCACUCAUGAUAACAUCUUCAAGUCAUAACCAUGUUUUAAGGUAACCAAGAUGAAGAUAUGAAAAUAUCCUUCUAGUGCAGCGUUGCUCAUCAAUUGCUGCUGAAGUGCACUAGAUCAUGGAUUGUCUUUGAACAACAUUGCCCCAAUGAUCUGAGCAUGUCAUUCUUCGUUUAUACAAGAAGGCUUUUUGUCAUUGUCAGAUGACUUUGAUGAACUUUGACGACUCAUCAUCUGAUUCUUUCUUUGCCCCCAGCUGAUAGAAUGUUGUUUGCUUUUCUUCAAGGGUCCACUGUAUUGCCCCCAGGUGGUCAACGUUUCAAGGAGUGUCGAGAAAUGUUGAUGUCAUUUUUGUCAAGGAUUUUGCAAACUCAAUUGAUGUUCUUGUUUGAAAAUCUUUCUUGUUCUGGAAUCAAAUCUCACAUUUCAACGAUCAUGUCUAUUCAAGUCUAAUUGUUGAAAUGAAAUCAGAGAGAUGUCUGUUUUUGAAUUAUUAUUUUUUUUUGAAAUUCAAACUUCUUUGGUCAAAGACCCAACACACUAUUCAAUGCAGUCCUUUGAUUGUCUUGUAUCUUGAAAACAGAAAUGACCCGUUGUAAGAUUUAAAAUGACUUUUUCAUGGUUCUUUGUGUCCACUUUAAACUCUGAUUUUGGGUAUAUCUUUUGAUGGUCUGUGAUGAGGUGACAUUUUUAUGAAUUUCAAAAACAAGAUGCUCAGGCUUUAUCAAGAAAGGUUGUUUCUUUUCUUAGCAUUUAUUUUAUCAGCAUGCAUAAUAACCAGUAGCUUAAUUCAUGAAGUCACGACCCUUAUGGAAAAACUCUUCAAGUUUUGAGAGCGCCAUUUAUCGAUUCAAAUUGCUUGCUUGAUUAAAAAGGGCUUUUAAAAGCACGUAAUGCAGGCUAUGGUUCAUGGCUAUGAAAGAAAAGAAUUUCAAGGCUCAAAAGGUGUUUGAGGGUUUCAACGACUAGGAUCAACAUUAAUUAUUCAUCGAUUCUCUUUCUCUUGUCGUCAUUGUAGAGAAAGUGACAUAUAACCUUGUUAAUCUCAAAUAUCAGAAUUCUCUUAACAUAGGUCAUAAUGCAAAUCCAACUUUUCUUUGAUGAAUAACCAAUCUAAAAUUUUGAAGACAUUAGAGGCUUUAUCCUAGACACACCAAAAGAUAUGAAGCAUCGAUUUUUCUAGUGUUGACUUUUGGCAUUUAUUGUCUUUUCUCAAUUGAAAGUUGUCUUGCCUCUCUUAGAAUUGGUAGGCAUUUUCUUUCAUUUCCUCAAAGUUUUUCUUGGAUGGCCCUCAAUCUAUGGAUUUUCUUCUUCUAGCCCUUUCUCAAACAUUGGACUUUUGUUCUAAGCUUUUCUUUGAUCCAUUGAUUUUAUCCGUGUCUCCAAAAUAUUUCUCAUUUGCCCCCAGUGUGGGGUGUGAUCCUAGUCAGGGUUUUUAUGAAAAAAUAUUCUAUCCAGCUCAAAAUGGGACUACAAGGGAGAUAAUUUUUAGAAAGUGACAGGAUAUCAAAGAUGGCCUUUUCUCAUUUCAAGCAAGGUCGGUUAGAACCGAUAAAUUUUGACCUCAUCUAGUGUAAUGAUUUGGACUUGUAAGAGUCAUGAUUCACGAGUCCAUAGCUACCGAAACCACUACAUGUCAUUAUGCAUACUGUUAAAACUUAGCUAUAUGAUGUGUGGUUCAGUUUCAGGAAGUACGAGUUCAAAAUUUGUUUGGUCACUUCAUGUCAUUUCAACAACAAUUGAGUCAUUUCUGCAAUCAAAACACUUUUAAUCUUCAGGAUUGAUUCACCUUUAUCGCAUGUUGGAGUUUGAUCAAAAUAUUUUGUCAAAAUACCAUUUGAAAGAAGUAUCUCUUGAUUUCAAACAACAAGAAGACAAACAAAAGACAUGUUUCGUUCAAGGUUGAGAUGUGACCCCAAAACAAAAAUGCAAAAUGGCAAAAAUCCAUAACAAAAAUGCUUGACAGUUUAACUCCUCCUUGGAUCAGCUUCUCUAGCAAUAUCUAUGUUUUGUCGAGCCAUUCCGAUCACUGGUCAUUCUGAAAAUGAUUGAUGACAUCAUCUUUCGCAAAUUGAUCUCGACUCUUGAAACUCUUGCAUCUGUUUAACUAAAAUGGUCGAGGACCCCACCAUGACAUCACAUCUGUUAUCUGGAUUAUACCACCUAGAAAUUGGUGGUUGCAUGGGAUUUGUCGGAGUCAAGCAAAAUUCUGGAAUCUGGCAGAUCCUUCAAUCUUUCCUCUUUUCAUAGCUUGUUCAAUUCUUCGGCAAAUCCUCACAACAUCAUUUCAAUCUUCCAAUGUUGUUGUGGUUGGCUGCAGAUUGUUAGAAAACUUUCCAACAGCUUGGUAAUAUUGGCAGCGCACAGAAACUUGUAGUAUCGCCACUACGACGUGUGGAAUCACACAUUGCCUCUAUUGGAAAAGCACCUGAUGAAUCUAAAACUCCUUUGUCCCCUCUUCGAUUUCUCACUGACAGUGCAGCAAACAAACACCUAUAAAGGAAGUCCUGCUCUGUUGAAGUUUCAGUAUUCUUCAUGUUUUUUUAGUCUAUGCAUGUCUCUUCUCUCUACUUUUGCGUUUUAGUACUGACACUGUUUGGAGGAAAAUCAUAGAUGAUCUGAAACUACUGUGUUCUUUCUUGGAUUUCCCACUUGCGGAUCCACAAAUAGAUUCUUGCCGAGAGGGCUCUGCUACGUUGAAGUUUGAUGUCUGCUCAUAUUUUUCAGACCAGGUCUGACUCUUCAACCUACUAAAAGGUCUUCGUGUUGAAGCUGAUGAGAGAAAUAUUUGUAGCAUAUGCAACUUAUAAAUCCCCUCUUGCAUUCCUAAUUUGCAGAGCCAUAAAUGGAUUUUUGUAUAGAGAGCUCUGCCACAUUGAAGUUUGACAACUGCUAAUAUUAUCAGACCGGGUCUGACUCUUCUGCCUACUACAAUGUUUUGCUGGUGCCACUGGUGGGAAAAAGUUUCAAAGCAUAUGAAAUUAAUACAUUCCCUUUUGCAUUUGCCAUUGACAGAUCCACAAAUAAAUCUCUACAGAGAUAGCUCUACCGCGUUGAAAUUCAGUGUCUGAUCAUGGUUUUUUCAGACCAACAUCUUGUGCUGCUGAACUGGAAUUGAGCUCAUAAUUGGGGUAACUUCAAAACAGACUGAUGCACCAUGAACAAAAGGCUAGUAGUCGUUUGGUUCCAUUAGAUGAUAUGGAGACAAUGAACAUUUAACAGUGCAACUGGACAAGAACUAGAAUUGUCAUUAGUUGAUGACUGAAGGCAUUGCUGCUGUUGUUCAUGACUGAAAAAGAGAGGCAGCUUCAAUUGGACGUGGACAAGCACUGUUCCCACAUAAGACUGUGCAAACAUUCUCUUUCCAUUUAAUGCUCAACACUUGUUCGAGCAGAUCUGAGUCCAGCUAUUUCAUCUUUGAUGCUCUCAAACUCAAAUUGAUAAUGAGCCUCUAUCUGAUAUCUUUCUUCACCUCCAUCAUUUUUCUUCAAUCACGUGCAGCACAACUUGUGCGGGGAAACCUACUUUUCAACCCGGUACAUGCAUGAUAAAUGUAUGAAUAUGUAAUCUAUAUGACGAACUCACCCUUCGAGGGGUGACAAUAUGGUCGUAACUCUUGUAUGAUGGAUAAGAAUCGUGAUUUUUUUGCCCAAACUCUACAAUGAAAAUUUUCGGAGUGACGGCCAAUGUGUCACCUACAAGUCUUGAGUUCAAGAUGCUUCCAGAAAGGUUUGCUCAAAUGCAAAACAAAACAAAUAUUUACGGAGCAUACAUCCUACAGGCAAGUUCUAAUCUUUUUACGUGAGACAGGGUAGGUUUGCUACUUGGUCUCUAAAAGGGUCUCUUGUUGUCCCAGUGAUCGCCUUCGUAAAGGCAAUAUAGGGGCCCAGUAGGUAAUUGGUUGGCACGUGUCCAACUAUUACCAGUCUAAGCACUCAACAAAGAGUUGGGGUUUACACAAACUUCAACCUUGACUCAAGUCGUAAGGUAAGCUGCUAGUCCCCCACCUAACCUAAAGCGGUGUGUGCUUUCAAAAAUUAAAACUUGUGAUGCAUGAGAGAAAUAUAUACAAUGCAUGAAUAAAACACAAAUAAAUAAAACAAAGCACAAAAAAAAAAAAUUGAACACAUCAAAACACAAAGCUUAGUCCGAUAAAGUUGAAAACAAUACCUGUCCCCAGUGGAGUCGCCAUCCUGUCGCACCCCAAAAAAAAAAUCCGAAGCGAAGCGCGCGCAUCGGCUGGCGAUUUUUCAUCGUUGUUGUUUGCUUUGAAUUCGUUCGUGGGAGUCGCCACCUAGUAAUUCAUUGAGGGCUACUAGGAAACCUGAUGUACUGGUCUUGUCAGAGAUCGCGGGUAAGGGACUGGUUGUGGUUAGGGAAGGUAUUAGCACCCCUAACACACCCUACCUGAGGUAAGCUGCUUUGUGUUCUGAUGUGAUUUGAAAAUUUAAAAUAUUAAUUAAAUUCUAAGGCUUGAAUAAAUCAGUUAUUAAAUCCCCGAAUAUAUGUAGAAACUUGUUCUUACAUUUUCGUAAAAACAAACUUGAUUUUAUUUGUCCUUGAGAUAUUUAACCAUAUUUAAGAAAAUUUAAAAUAUUAAUUAAAUUCUAAGGCUUGAAUAAAUCAGUUAUUAAAUCCCCGAAUAUAUGUAGAAACUUGUCUUACAUUUCGUGGAAAAUACAACUUGAUUUUAUUUGUCCUUGAGAUAUUUAACCAUAUUUAAAUUAAAAAUUAAUUCUUUUUCCUUUUAUUUUUACAAUUUAAUAACAUAAAUAAAAAUACAAACAAGCACACAUCUCUUUUUAUUAUUUAUUUUUCUUCUUUUUUCUUUUACAUUCACAUAUUACAAAUUUAAAAUAAAUAAAUAAAAAUUACAUUAAAACUUUAAAAUUUACAAAAUGAUCCCUAAAAAACUCCAGAAAUUGCAGGGAAGGACUCCUGGGGGCUGCGUGAACAGUCCGGCGCGUGGAUCCACGCACCCCCGCCACUGGCGGCGCGUGGGUCCACGCGCCGCUGCAAGAAAAACCCAACAGCAAGGGGCUGGAUCGACUCCCUCUUCUCAGCCUCCCAACACCGGCGGUGAGGACCGCCGUUACCUACAAUAACAGAAAAAGCACAACACAGUCGAUUUUAAUUUUUGUUUUUUUCGUUUUGCAGAGCUGCUUCGGUUUUUCUUCUUCUCGGUUUCGGUUCUAAAUUCUUUCCCCAGAUCGGUCUGUUAUGGGUUUCUUCUUCGUCUCCGGUGGUAGAUCGUCGUGGAGGAGGAGCUGUGGGUGGUCGAUUGAAGCAGGAACCCGGCGGCGGUGCUGAGGAGUUCGGGUCGGUGGCGAUGGAGAAACGAAACUCCGCCCGUUCUCUGGUUGAGGGGAUGAUGGGGACUGCUCUGUGCUGGGAGAAGGAAAAAAAAUCAGGGGAACAGGGGACGGCGGAUCUGUUUAGGCUGAGGUUUCGGGCAGCUGUUGAAGGAAAAAUCAAAAGUCCGGUGGGGGGGGGGAGCUUGAGCUGCGGUGGAGA
rnacentral:lncRNA from 1 species